rnacentral:rRNA from 1 species
AGAGUUUGAUCCUGGCUCAGAUUGAACGCUGGCGGCGUGCCUUACACAUGCAAGUCGAACGGCAGCACGGGGGCAACCCUGGUGGCGAGUGGCGAACGGGUGAGUAACAUAUCGGAACGUGCCCUGGAGUGGGGGAUAACUAGUCGAAAGAUUAGCUAAUACCGCAUACGAUCUACGGAUGAAAGUGGGGGAUCGCAAGACCUCAUGCUCGUGGAGCGGCCGAUAUCUGAUUAGCUAGUUGGUGGGGUAAAGGCCUACCAAGGCAUCGAUCAGUAGCUGGUCUGAGAGGACGACCAGCCACACUGGGACUGAGACACGGCCCAGACUCCUACGGGAGGCAGCAGUGGGGAAUUUUGGACAAUGGGGGCAACCCUGAUCCAGCAAUGCCGCGUGAGUGAAGAAGGCCUUCGGGUUGUAAAGCUCUUUUGUCAGGGAAGAAACGGCGGGAGCUAAUACCUUCUGCUAAUGACGGUACCUGAAGAAUAAGCACCGGCUAACUACGUGCCAGCAGCCGCGGUAAUACGUAGGGUGCAAGCGUUAAUCGGAAUUACUGGGCGUAAAGCGUGCGCAGGCGGUUGUGCAAGACCGAUGUGAAAUCCCCGGGCUUAACCUGGGAAUGGCAUUGGUGACUGCACGGCUAGAGUGUGUCAGAGGGGGGUAGAAUUCCACGUGUAGCAGUGAAAUGCGUAGAGAUGUGGA